AAUAUCAUCAAAACUCCUUUCAAUGGGUUGAAAAAUUUUAACUCUAUACUUUGAGUGUCAUCGAUCAUCAAGACGACACCCGAUGAGUCCCACAAUCCACCAGUACACCUAGCAGUAUGUAGUAGUAACCCAGUAGAAUGAAAGUAUAAAUCCCUAGGUACAAUUAUCGUAUGAUUUAGUCUUUCUAUUGUGAGUCCCGACUUGACAGA
rnacentral:lncRNA from 1 species